UUUUUCCUUCUCUCCACUUCUUAAAACUGCAACACGAUAAUCAAAUUGAGUCCCACCUGCAAAAGUGCUAACUCACUCGCCAUUAGUUCAAUCUUGACUCACCAUAGUGACAGAGAAUCCAACUUGAGGAGAAAUUCAAACCAAGAAAGACGGAAUGAUGAGGACAUAGGAGAAGGCGUGAUGGAAGGAACACAGCGUCCAAGGAUUGGGAAGAUCAAUGAGAAGAACAAGAGUCAAGAAAGCUAAAGAAGCUCUAAAUCAAAUGGUGGCAAAUUUGAUCAAGGAAGGCUCCAAAGUUGAAGGCCCAAAAUGUGAAGUGGGGGAGCCCAAAAUAAUUGGUUGCAUUCAGAUUGAAGACCAUGAGAGAGAGUUGCAUUUUUAUUUAGUCUACUUUUGGACCAUUUUAAGCUAAAUAAAAGCGUGUAUAUAUUUGUGUGUGUGUGAUAAGAAAGGACAUGAUUGGUUGCUUGAGGAUGGCUAACUAAAUCAGUCCAUGGAUAUGUGAUAAGAAAGAACAUGAUUGGUGGUGCAAGUUUGAGUAAUUCCCCUAUUGUUAUGCAUUGUAGUUACUUAUGUAAGAGCAAAAGAGGUUUUGAAAACCUCACUUAUCGAAGUACUGCUUGAUAGACUUCUAUGAUUUCGUCC